AUGAAGAACGCAGCGAAAUGCGAUAAGUAGUGUGAAUUGCAGAAUUCAGUGAAUCAUCGAAUCUUUGAACGCACAUUGCGCCUCCUGGUAUUCCGGGAGGCAUGCCUGUUCGAGCGUCAUUAAAAUCACUCAAGCUUAGGUUUACCUAUUGCUUGGUCUUGGAGAUGGAAGCCAAUUCAUUGGAAUCCUCUUCGAAAUCCAAUGGCGAAGACCCUUGCUCUCCCAAGUGUAGUAAUAACUUAUGUCACUGAAGGAAGCGAGAAAUCUUCCGCCGUAACCCCCAUAUUUUCUAUGAUUGACCUCGGAUCAGGUAGGGAUACCCGCUGAACUUAAGCAUAUCAAUAAGCGGAGGA
rnacentral:misc_RNA from 1 species